GAUGAACGCUGGCGGCGUGCCUAAUACAUGCAAGUCGAACGGAGAUAAUGUAGCAAUACGUUAUUUUAGUGGCGAACGGGUGAGUAACGCGUUGGUGACCUGCCCCGAAGAGGGGGAUAACAGUUCGAAAGGACUGCUAAUACCCCAUGUGGUCACUGGGAUUAGAUACCCGGUGACUAAAGGAGAAAUUCACUUCGGGAGGGGCCUGCGUCCCAUCAGCUAGUUGGUAGGGUAAUGGCCUACCAAGGCGACGACGGGUAGGGGACCUGAGAGGGUGGCCCCCCACCACUGGCGACUG
rnacentral:rRNA from 1 species